AUUGAACGCUGGCGGCAUGCCUUACACAUGCAAGUCGAACGGCAGCACGGGGCAACCUGGUGGCGAGUGGCGAACGGGUGAGUAAUGCAUCGGAACGUACCUUUCAGUGGGGGAUAGCGUAGCGAAAGUUACGCUAAUACCGCAUAUUCUGUGAGCAGGAAAGCAGGGGAUCGCAAGACCUUGCGCUGAUUGAGCGGCCGAUGUCAGAUUAGCUAGUUGGUGAGGUAAAGGCUCACCAAGGCGACGAUCUGUAGCUGGUCUGAGAGGAUGACCAGCCACACGGGAACUGAGACACGGUCCAGACUCCUACGGGAGGCAGCAGUGGGGAAUAUUGCACAAUGGGCGCAAGCCUGAUGCAGCCAUGCCGCGUGUAUGAAGAAGGCCUUCGGGUUGUAAAGUACUUUCAGCGGGGAGGAAGGCGGUGAAGUUAAUAGCUUCACCGAUUGACGUUACCCGCAGAAGAAGCACCGGCUAACUCCGUGCCAGCCGCCGCCGUAAGAC
rnacentral:rRNA from 1 species